rnacentral:pre_miRNA from 1 species
UUUGUACUCCCUCCAUCCCAAAAUUCUUGUCUUAAAUUUUUCUAAAUAUGGAUGUAUCUAGUUACAUUUUAGUGUUAGAUACAUCUGUAUCUAAACAAAUGUAAGACAACAAUUUUGGGAUGGAGGGAAUACUAC